CCUGUCUGAUCUCCAUCACAAGUCUGAUUCCUAUAAUCCAAGGGGAAGUAUUAAAAACACAUGUGCGCAUAUCAGGAAACUAUCAAAGCACAAACAUAUUUCUGCACACCUGAUGUCCAUCACGCCAUGUGACUUGUAUCCCAUUAGAACGAACACAACAACCAACACAACUGAAUAGGUCCUUCCUGGUAGCCUGCAUGAGCGUCAAGGAGCCAGCCUUAACUGUAGGGACAUAUCAAGAAAAUUUGAGGCGUUCAAGCACGUGCUCACUGAAACCAAACCAAAUAUUGCCGGCAUCGGCGAGAUGUCCGUGCAGGGUUCAACUUUAGACUUUGCAGAUUGCAGACCGCCCCAGCUGGUUCCCCCCUCCCUCCAACGUGUAAUCUGGUAAGGAGAAGUGCUGCAAGAUACGACAGAAAAGGCCAAUUUUUCUUGAUAAGAUAUUAUGGAUCAAGCCUGUUUAUUGGGGAUUCUGUUAUAAAUCCAACAACCUGAUAACCGAGGGAUUUAGGAUGGGGGAUUAUUUAC
rnacentral:lncRNA from 1 species